AAAUUAACAUGUUUACGUACAACAUACACCAGUAAGGCCUGCUAUGGAUCUAGUCUGUACUCGGCAUGACCUCAGUUGCAACUCCACCCAGAAGAUCGCCAUCUAUGACGCCUACUACACUGACAACACCGAGUGUACACAGACAGGUCUCUCUAGCUGCGGCAAUUUCAAUCCAGUCAGUGUCACAGAACAUGGAUAUCACAGGUUCAACAACACCGAGCUGGUUUCCCUCUACAAAACCUGUUCAACAAAGAGUCAGUGCGUGUAUCGUGCUCCCGGGCGAGGUGCAACUGGUACAUUCUCUGUUGUGAAAUACCAGUGUAUUGAAGACUCGUUUGCGACUU